GACGAACCGUGCGAACGUUGUUCGGAAUCACUGGGCUUAAAGGGCGCGUAGGCGGACACGUAAGUCUGGAGUGAAAGCGUUCGGCUUAACCGGACAAGGGCUUUGGAAACUGCGUGUCUUGAGGGAGAUAGGGGCAGCUGGAACUUCUGGUGGAGCGGUGAAAUGCGUUGAUAUCAGAAGGAACGCCGGUGGCGAAAGCGAGCUGCUGGACCUCUACUGACGCUGAGGCGCGAAAGCCAGGGGAGCAAACGGG
rnacentral:rRNA from 1 species